UGCCGUUUAACUAGUAUUUUUGUGUUACACAGUUGGUCUCAUAAAUAGUUGGUAAACCAAUUAAUAAAUUACAAGUAUCAUCGAAGUCAAUAAUAAAUAAACAUAAUAUUGGAGAAGUUUUGAAAACAAUAUUUUAUACCACUUAUCAAAAUGGAGCUCAACUCUAUAAUGUUUCAGCAAUCGGAUGUGAUUCUUUCAUCUAAUCUCCAACAUUAUUUGUCCUUCAUUUAUAUGUACCCUCGCGGUUUUGGAAAUACCGAAAUAAUACCGGAAUUAUACGGUAUAAAUACUGCAUAAAUAUGGUAUUACUCGAGUUAUUUUAGCCAGUUUUUUUACCGCAUUAUUACCAAAAAUUUACGAAAUAAAUUCCUAAUAUUUACGGUAAUAAAACAGAAAAAAUACGGUAUUUUCACAGAAUUAAAACAGUAAUUAUACAGCAUAUUUAUAGUAUAUUUUCGGCAUUUUUGCAGCAUCAAACCGUUUUACCCGUAAAAAAAUUUAUAUAAAAUUUUAUUCAGUUAUAUAUAAUUUUAUAUAAUUAUAUAGAACCUUAUAAAGUUAUAAAAAAAAAAAAAAAAAAAAAAAAACACCAGUUAACUCGUGGACUCGAUCCCGAGACCUAUUUGUUCAAAGUCUGAUCUGGUAGCCAUUAUGCCAAAUCACUUACUUGAAAUAUGUUGCUAAUUGUAUUCACAUGGAUACAAACAAACUCAAGAAAAUUGAAAACAUCAAUUUUCACAGAUAGUUAUUUUCACUUACAUGUUUUUGUUUGAGUAAGAAUUGUGUGAACCAAUAAAAUAAAAUAAAAAAUAUUACAUUUUGCACAUUUUCGAUGAUUUUAAAUGCAGAAGCGAACAAAAAAUAAAACCAUAUUUUUUUACAAUUUUCUAUUUUAUCAGCGUAAAUCUGGCGAAAUUGCAGGAUACUGACGGUAUUAUUAUCACAAAAACAACGAUUUUAUUAUUACUACAUUAUCGUAUUAUAGUUUUUAUACAGCAUUUUAUUGGUAAAAGUUCGGCAUUUUUACAGUUUUUUUACAGCAUUUUUUUGGUAAACCCUCGCGGUUUUGCGAAUGCCGUAAAAAUGCCGUAAAUUUUCGGGAUUUAUGCACAUGCCGUAAAUUUACCGUAAUAAUUUGGUAUUAAAAUGGUUAUUUUGGCCAGUUCUUUCCCUGCAGUUAUGCCAUAUACUUACUGCACUUAUGCUGUAGAGUUACCAGAUUACUACAGUAAUAUUACUAUAAAAAUGCCGAACUUUUACCGAAAAAAUGCUGUAAAAAAACUAUAACAAUACCGAACUUUUACCAAACUAUAAUACGAUAAUGUAGUAAUAAUAAAAUCGUUGUUUUUGUGAUAAUAAUACCGUCAGUAUCCUGCAAUUUCGCCAGAUUUACGCUGAUAAAAUAGAAAAUUGUAAAAAAAUAUGGUUUUAUUUUUUGUUCGCUUCUGCAUUUAAAAUCAUCGAAAAUGUGCAAAAUGUAAUAUUUUUUAUUUUAUUUUAUUGGUUCACACAAUUCUUACUCAAACAAAAACAUGUAAGUGAAAAUAACUAUCUGUGAAAAUUGAUGUUUUCAAUUUUCUUAAGUUUGUUUGUAUCCAUGUGAAUACAAUUAGCAACAUAUUUCAAGUAAGUGAUUUGGCAUAAUGGCUACCAGAUCAGACUUUGACCAAAUAGGUCUCGGGAUCGAGUCCACGAGUUAACUAGUGUUUUUUUUUUUUUUUUUUUUUUUUCAUGACAGUUAUUUAAUAUAUAACUUUAUAAGGUUCUAUAUAAUUAUAUAAAAUUAUAUAUAACUGAAUAAAAUUUUAUAUAAAUUUUUUUACGGGUAGAACGGUUUGAUGCUGCAAAAAUGCUGAAAAUAUACUAUAAAUAUGCUGUAUAAUUACUGUUUUAAUUCUGUGAAAAUACCGUAUUUUUUCUGUUUUAUUACCGUAAAUAUUAGGAAUUUAUUUUAUUUCGUAAAUUUUUGGUAAUAAUGCGGUAAAAAAACUGGCUAAAAUAACUCGAGUAAUACCAUAUUUAUGCAGUAUUUAUACCGUAUAAUUUCGGUAUUAUUUCGGUAUUUCCAAAACCGCGAGGGAAAGUUCGGUGUUGUAAUUUUUUUACAGCAUUUUUUCGGUAAAAGUUCGGCAUUUUUAUAGUAAUAUUACUGUAGUAAUCUGGUAACUCUACAGCAUAAGUGCAGUAAGUAUAUGGCAUAACUCCAGGAAAAAAACUGGCCAAUAUAACCAUAUAAACACCAAAUUAUUACGGUGCAUAAAUGCCGAAAAUUUACGGCAUUCGCAAAACUGCGAGGAGUUGACUAGAGAGGCUAUACAAACUGGAAUCCAGGAUGUAGACUCACUGAGUCACUGGUGAUAAUUGGUACAGUAGAUAAUAUAAGUUGAUCGUUGAUGAUGGACCGAUCGGACAGACUUUUUUGGCUAUUGAGACUAGUAUUAAUUAAGAGCGUUUCGAUUAUGCUGGUGCGGAGAAGAAAAAGUUCUGUAUCUACAUUGCUAUCGGUCAAAUGAGAUCUACAGUAACUUGGAUCGUGAAAAUAGUGACGGCACUGCUAUUAACUAUUCUAUCAUCGUAUUCGAUACCGUGUCUGAUGCUGCUCUUUUCUUACACUUUUUUGCCAUGUGCCAUGGCAGAACUUUUUUUUGUGACAAUGGCAAACAUGUCUUCAUUAUUUAUGAUGAUUUGUCAAAACCGGUAAUUGCUUACCAUUAAAUGAUUUUAUUUUUGAGACUACCUUUAGGAAAUCGUGCUGAGCCUCGUCAUGUAUUCUAUAUUUAUUCUCGUUUUCUUGAAAGAGCCGUAAAAUCCAUUAAAUGUACAUGAAUAAUUGGUGAGUGAAAUGAAUAAUUUAUUAAAUGAAAAACAUGAAUAAAAGACGUUAUUAAAUAAUCAUAUGAUAUUAGAGUUCGGACCGUCAAUAAUUUCCGGAUGUUUCAUCAAAAAAAUAAUAGUUAAAAAAAAAAUGCCUUUAGUUUUCCAAAUUUUCAGUUAAGUAUGUAUUACUUAUAAUUUUUUUCAUAAAUGAUUCGUAAAAACAGAUCAAAAAUCAUUAUAUAACUGUCAAUUUUUGACAAACGAAUUGCUAAAAAAAUUUGCCAAAAAUCGAAUUCCCCCCGCCAACUUAAGGGAGCUGAGGUAAGGAGCAAUCUCUCAUAGGGGGCUUCACUUUCAAAAGUGUCCACGAUAAGCUAUACAAUUAUAGCUCCAAAACCAACUAGAAAGGCGCUGAUGGCACUCAUAAUUAGAUGUAAACGUGGCGAUUAUUGAUGAAGUGAAGUAUGCCAAAGGGAAAUAGUAGAGUAAAGAAGUAGUUGUACUGAAUAGAGUAGUUUAUAAAAAUAAAGUAAAUGAAUAUGCAAUUGCAAACGUAGUCAAGUGAGAUUAAAUACGGUGAAGUAUAACCUGAAAAAUCGCGAUUUUUUUAUGAAGUGCUGUUUGUAAAUAUUUUUAAGAACAAUUUAAGGUAGUUCGAGCGGGAGGCAUGGUGAGGAUUGGCUGCUCUGAGCGCGCGGUAAAGGGGUGAUGUCACAGUGCUACCAGAACGUGCGAUAUUUUUACCCCCUCCUGUCAUUACAGUCAAUGCUAUUUCACCUCAAGAGGGAGUAAAAAUAUCGCACGUUCUGGCAGCACUGGGUGAUGAUGAUCACGUGACCGCGACAGUACGUAUGGCAACACUAUGAUUAUUGCGAUUUAUUUCUUGCUGUUAUUUGUAAAUUCAAAAUAAACAUCGAGUGUCAAUUUAGUGACAACAUCAUCAGCUAUUAUUAAAAAAUUGUGUACUAAAAUUCGUGAAAUUAUCAAAAAUAUUGACGCUGAAUUUAAUAAAAAUGAUAAAUAAUUAUAAAAAUGUUUAUUAUUGCACGACUCAUGGUGCGAAGCAUCAGAGAGUGCUUUACGAUCGAAAAAUUUUUUUCGUCUCACUUCGGCAACUAUUUCAAUUAUUAUACUUUUGUUGAUUCAUGGAAUUAAGAUAUGUUGCACACCGUUUUGAAGAUAAUUUAAUGGAGAUUAAUUCCAUACUUUUCAAAAAUUUAUUUAGUUCAAUAAAAACCGAUAAACCAUCAAAAUAUUAAAAAAAAUUUCCUGUCCGUCAAGUAUGAAUCCCGUAUACACGAUAACUUGCGAAAAAAUCCAGUAAUUGAAUCAAAUUUUUUUUUUUAAAUUCUUUGAAAGAUUUGUAGAUCCCCUAUUAAAAAUGGCUAGGUAACUCAGUGUCGUUUAAUUACAAUUAAUAAAAGAAUAGAAAGGCUGUAUAACUAUACAUACAAUACUGGCUAAUAAUUCUUGAGCGGUAGCAUAGAAUCGGUUAAAAAAAAAUGUCGCAAAAUAAAAAUGUAUAUGACUACUUUUAUACAAAUGUAAAAAUAUAAAAAUAAAAAGUUGUAAAAAAACAAUUCAAUAUUUAAAAAUAUAUGUAUAUUAAUAAAAUGUAAAAUUAUAAAUAUGUAUUGUAAAAUAAGUGAAUAA